GCCGGGAUAGCUCAGCUGGGAGAGCAACAGACUGAAGCCGUUCGCCUGACAUGUUCAACGAACAGCCUUCUGGAGGUCCCGUGUUCAAUCCACGGUCCUGGCA